UCCCAGAGCUGCCGGCUUCCCCUUGAAGGAAUAGGAGUAGACCUGCUGAACUAUCACAUGAGAGAAGAGGCCCAAAAGCUUGCACACUACAGUCAAGCUGGCCCUUAAAGAGAUGGACCUAGAAGAUGCUGAGCCAGAUGUACUCAAUUACUUCUCCAAAAUUCAUCAAUUAGGAAUACAACAUGUUUAAGACCACAGAACAUCUGCAUAGGCUGUAAAUUUCGUUGAAUGAUGGAUGCAAAGAUGGAAGACAGAUGGAUAGAGGAAAAGACAGAAUCAGAUACUGGAUGAGUUAGUACUGCUGCCUGUGCUUCAGAGCUGUCUUAUUACCACAAGGCCGGCAAGCAUCAAUGUCCCCACAUCCCCCUCUGCCUCCCCCUGAAAUGUACCGAUUUAUAUGAAAAUUAAGAUUACAAAUUAAAGCCUGGCUAUCCUGGAGUUUUCCAGUUCAUCAGCCAUCCAAUAAAAAUGAUGUCAAGCCUGUAUGCAUAAUUCCCGGAAGAUUACUUUCGUCCUUACAGCUAAGCCCUGUCCCUGAUAUGAAAGAUCUCUAUCCACUUUUAUUGAAA
rnacentral:lncRNA from 10 species